UGAGGUAUUAAUCGUAAACUUGAAUUUUUGUAUGUACUUUGUAUAGAAGUGAAUUUAUUUAUAAAAAUUUUAAUUCAUUGUUAUUUUUUAUAUAAAUAUAGAAUUCAAUUCUAAACUACAAAAAUUUAUAUAAUCUUAAAGACUAAUCUUAUUUUGUAAAAUUUUCCCAAAUUAUAAUUUUAAAAAAAACUUUAAGAGUUA
rnacentral:lncRNA from 1 species